UGACCGCUGGCGGUAGGCCUAACACAUGCAAGUCGAACGGCAGCACAGUAAGAGCUUGCUCUUACGGGUGGCGAGUGGCGGACGGGUGAGGAAUACAUCGGAAUCUACUUUUUCGUGGGGGAUAACGUAGGGAAACUUACGCUAAUACCGCAUACGACCUACGGGUGAAAGCCGGGGAUCUUCGGACCUUGCGCGAUUGAAUGAGCCGAUGUCGGAUUAGCUAGUUGGCGGGGUAAAGGCCCACCAAGGCGACGAUCCGUAGCUGGUCUGAGAGGAUGAUCAGCCACACUGGAACUGAGACACGGUCCAGACUCCUACGGGAGGCAGCAGUGGGGAAUAUUGGACAAUGGGCGCAAGCCUGAUCCAGCCAUACCGCGUGGGUGAAGAAGGCCUUCGGGUUGUAAAGCCCUUUUGUUGGGAAAGAAAAGCAGCAGGUUAAUACCCCGCUGUUCUGACGGUACCCAAAGAAUAAGCACCGGCUAACUUCGUG
rnacentral:rRNA from 1 species